AGAGUUUGAUCCUGGCUCAGAAUGAACGCUGGCGGCGUGCUUAACACAUGCAAGUCGAACGAGAAAGCCGAAAGCUUGCUUUUGGCGAGUAAAGUGGCGCACGGGUGAGUAACGCGUGGGUAAUCUGCCUUUGAAUUCGGGAUAACACUUCGAAAGGGGUGCUAAUACCGGAUAACAUCUUUUUACCUUUGGUUAAAGAGAUCAAAGAUAGCCUCUACAUGUAAGCUAUUGUUUGGAGAUGAGCCCGCGUACCAUUAGCUUGUUGGUAGGGUAACGGCCUACCAAGGCAACGAUGGUUAGCUGGUCUGAGAGGAUGAUCAGCCACACUGGAACUGGAACACGGUCCAGACUCCUACGGGAGGCGGCAGUGAGGAAUUUUGCGCAAUGGGGGAAACCCUGACGCAGCAACGCCGCGUGAGUGAUGAAGGAUUUCGGUUCGUAAAGCUCUGUCAAGUGGGAAGAAGUUAUCAUAUAUUAAUAGUAUAUGGUAGGGACGGACCANUGAAGGAGCNC
rnacentral:rRNA from 1 species